CAGCAUCUUCCAUGGCUUUCUGGCAAAGGGAGGUGCAGCUACCACUACUACGAUUUACUAUUUGCGCGACGAAUAUUUUUUCGUCGCGCAAAAAGCACUAUUGCGAUGGAAAAAAAAUUCCGUCGCGCAAACAGCAGAAAACUAGCGCGACAAACAGUUUCGUCGCGCAAAGCAACUAUGCGCGACCUAAAUUAAUUUCGUCGCGCAAAGGUAGGGGAUAAAAACCCGGUUUUUUUUUUGGCGCCAAAAUCUUGCGCGACGACAAAAAUCGUCGCGCAUGACAAUAUUGUGCUACAAUUCAAAGCAUUCGUCGCGUAAAGAUGGAUAGAAAAUUGGCUCCUUUUUUUGGCGGUAAAAAAAUUUGCGCGACGAGAGUUUUCGUC
rnacentral:lncRNA from 1 species